CACGAAGUUAGCCGGGGCUUCUUCUCACGCUACCGUCAUCAUCGUCGCGUGCGAAAGAGCUUUACAACCCGAAGGCCUUCAUCACUCACGCGGCAUUGCUGGAUCAGGCUUGCCGCCCAUUGUCCAAUAUUCCCCACUGCUGCCUCCCGUAGGAGUCUGGGCCGUGUCUCAGUCCCAGUGUGGCUGAUCAUCCUCUCAGACCAGCUAAGGAUCGUUGCCUUGGUAGGCCGUUACCCCACCAACAAGCUAAUCCUACGCGGGCCCAUCCCAUGGCGAAUAAAUCUUUGUCCCGCAGGACACAUACGGUAUUAGCUCCAGUUUCCCGGAGUUAUUCCGUACCACAGGCAGGUUCCCACGCUUACGUCACCCGUGCGCCACUAGGGCCGAAGCCCCUCGUUUCGACUUGCAUGUGUUAGGCAUGCCGCCAGCGUUCGUUCUUCGAGUCCGAGGAUCGAAACUCCU
rnacentral:rRNA from 1 species